CCAAGUUGCUUAUCUCUGAGUAGAGUAAGUUGGAGAAGUUAGCUUGGACUACAUGCCCUUUCACUAUGGCAACCUAGUUGCUAUUAAAUACAACCAUGACAGAAAUGAAUUGGCGGUGAAUUAAUUAAAGUGAAAGAGCUACUCUUG
rnacentral:sRNA from 12 species